CUUUUGAGGAUGUGUUACUAAGAAUUAAUGACGCAGAUGCCAGCAAUGGAUUGCUCACGUCUGCACUCUCUUACCCCAACAGCCAUUUGCAUAGACAAGAUUAACACCAUUAAGCCAAGCUGAGUUUAUAUUCCACUUCAUACAACUGGGAUGUUUUCCAGCCCAAACGCACUCAUUAGGCACUCGCUUUCCUAAAAAGUGAAACACGCAGCCAAUGCAAAGAGAAGAAAAACGCGUUUUCUUCGAGUGCGGGUUUUUUUUUUUUUUUCUUUUUCCUGUGAUGAAUCUCAUAUUUGCCAAGAAGAAAAUAGCUAGGUGCAUGGAGUUGACCUCGGCCAGGCACGGCAGGGUGGAAUCGAUCAAAGGAGCACAUUAGAACCAGCGCUCAGCAGGUGCGGGACCAUUACACUGUCUAAACACCCGUUAAUUAUUCUGAGGACUGCAUGAGAGCAACCGGGUGAGCAGCUUCGGAGUGUUCAGUAAACACUAAUUCCAGAGAGCUGAAGCCUGGUUUUUUGAAGUCUUAAGAGGCGGCCAAGAAAAGCACCCACUACCGAUCCAGAUGUUCCCCGGGGACCACAGAACUCAACAGGACACUUGAAGCAAUCCCUGGGUUUGAUGUUAUGGUCAGAAAAGUAACGACGAGAAAAUUGAUGAAGCCACACACACAGCCCCCAUACAAAUCCCCCUCGUGUCCUCUCAGGAGAUGCCCAAACACCAGGGGCAGCAGUGCUCCUGGAUCUGACAGCAUCAGGAAAACAAGUGACAGAUAGCACUGGCUGUGUAUUGGGGACUUCAGCUCAGCAAAGGGAUAGCAGGCGUGCCUGAGGGCACAGGCAUGAGAGCCUGGUCCACCUAACUGGACCUUCCUUCAUGAAGCAGGAGCUGCCUCCUGCUUCCCAGCAAGAUGGCCUCCUUAAUGAUCAUCAGGGAAGAAAAGGGUUGGGGCUCAGCUCUGUGGUACUGCAAGGGCUUAGCAUGACCCAGCCCUGACUCCAUCCCCAGUACCCAGGUCUAGGUUUGGAGAAAGGCUCUGUGGAGCAGGUUCUUUCUCUAUGUUGCCUAGGUCUCUAGAGCCUUGCAGCUCCCUGUUCCCCUUUCCACCAGAACAUUCUAGAAACCACAGCGCAUAUGCCCCCCCAUUCCUCACCUGCUGACAUCCACCUGCUCCCUCCCCCCCACACACACUGAGGCUACAGCGGUGAAUCAGACUUCUCCUCCAUCCACAUCAGUUGGCCUCAAAACUGUGGCCUUCGAGGCCUCUAAUGAGUGUCACCCAAAUAGGUCAUUCUUGCUGUACCCCCCAGGGAUCUCCCUCUGUGGCUGACUGUGGCCCCACACGCUAAACCACAGCCCAGACACAAGGCACCCCCUUGCACAUCCCCUAACGGGCCUUCUUAAAGGGUCUUCUCUGGACACUCUCCCCUUCCUCUGCCUAAUUACAGCCGUCUUUUAUUCUCAACCAAAGUCAUGUCCUGGUUAGGUUUCAUUGUCGACCUUGGCACACCCGGGCAGAGAGAGCGUUAAUUGAAGAACUAACUGCCUUGAUCAGAUUGACCUGUCUGUGAGAGGUCUGGGUUGAUGACUGGUGCAGGAGGGCUCGAGCCACUGUGGCAGGCAGGUCUGGCUUCUAGGAGCUGUCCCGAGUAGGAGGCCUGAGCCAGGUUGGCUCCUGAGGUCCCCUGUACACAGCCAGCUGUCUGCCACCUGUUUCCUGAUGCCCUCAGAUCUAGGAGCAACUCUUCUCCUCAGGGGACACUAGCUUCCCCUCCCCCUUUCCUACAAGUACCC
rnacentral:lncRNA from 1 species